AUUGAACGCUGGCGGCAUGCCUUACACAUGCAAGUCGAACGGCAGCACGGGUGCUUGCACCUGGUGGCGAGUGGCGAACGGGUGAGUAAUACACCGGAACGUACCUUAUCGUGGGGGAUAACGCAGCGAAAGCUGUGCUAAUACCGCAUACGCCCUGAGGGGGAAAGCGGGGGAUCGAAAGACCUCGCGCGACUAGAGCGGCCGAUGCCUGAUUAGCUUGUUGGUGGGGUAAAAGCCCACCAAGGCGACGAUCAGUAGCUGGUCUGAGAGGACGAGCAGCCACACUGGGACUGGGACACGGACCAGACUCCUACGGGAGGCAGCAGUGGGGAAUGUUGGACAAUGGGGGCAACCCUGAUCCAGCAAUGCCGCGUGAGUGAAGAAGGCCUUCGGGUUGUAAAGCUCUUUUGUCAGGGAAGAAACACCGGCUCUAACACAGUCCGGGAAUGACGGUACCUGAAGAAUAAGCACCGGCUAACUACGUGCCAGCCGCCGCAGUAA
rnacentral:rRNA from 1 species